rnacentral:lncRNA from 1 species
UUUUUUUUUUUUUUAAGAUUCUUUUAGAGUCCCUAAGGCUAGUAUUAAAGCAUAAGGACCACACCCAGUUGGCUUUGUACAUUCACUCUGUCUAGAUUUCUUUUUUUAGAUCCGCCUGCCUCUGCCUCCCAAAUGCUGUGAUUAAAGAAGCGCACUGCCCAGCAUGAAUUGUUCUAUUUUUAAUCACAAGAAUGCGAGUACGUGUGUGUGCGUUUGUGCACACACACAAGUGUGCAGGUGCCCUUGAUUACCAGAGGUAUUGGAUCCUCCUUGCGCUGCCGAUACAGGCUGUUGUGCCCAGCACGGUGCUGGGAAGCCAGAGUGUAAGCGCUCUUAGUCCUCAAGCCAUCUCUCCAGCUCCUUUGCUUUGAACAAUUGACUGAGUGAAAAAAGAGCUACAGAGGAGAGGACAUGACUGCUCCUAGGCAUGGUGGAGGAAUCUAGAGUGGACAUGACCAGACUGAGACUGAACUGGAGGCAUGUGGAGAGGAGGGGGGGAUGGAAGAGGGGAGAGAAAGGGACAAAUUUUAGCAGCCUGGAGGCCAAAGGUACAAAAGGGACGUGCAACCAGAAUGGCUGCAUUAUAAUAAGGGAAGAGCAGCCCAGUUGCCUGGGCUGGGGAGUCCAGUGUAGGGACUGGGGGUAUGGCAGCCAGGAGGGCCCUGUAAUUGUUUGGGGCUGAAGGAUGCCUGGAGAACCUAGCUUCCAGGUCCCCAUUGUUAAAUAGGCACCUCAGCCUUUUGCCCCGGGGAUUUGAGAUUUAACUUUGACCUUUACUCCAACUCCCAAAUGCCUUGAUUAGAGGAGGGGAGCCAUCACUCCCAGUUAAUUUCCCAGGCUUUAAUCUGUAGGAAUUGCACUGGAUCACAGUUUAACUAUGUUCCCACUGUUGCUCCCCAGUGAUGGGUAGUGACACAGUACAGAUAGAUAACAUUUUGGGAAGCCUAGCAAGUUCUUUCUUUUUAGCAUUGAAAUUUGAUCUGAGGUGAUAUUGGCAGCACAUGCUUCUGGUUUAAUGAAGUUCUAUUCUGCAAGGUCAUCAUUGAGAGCUAUUCUUACUGGUGAAAAGGUUUUCUCCACCUCACGCCAGCUCCAACCCUGUUGAAUAGUGUACUCAUGACCUCACACAUUACGUCAGCUAUAAAGUGAGGCUUUGCUGUGACCCUAAGCAACCUCCUGAAACUGGUUGCUAGUCAAUGAGGACUAUACUUCAAUCUGUAUUGCCCAAUGCCAACUUUUUUUGUUUUGGUUUGGUUUUUGUUUUGUUUUGUUUUUGUUUUUAUUUUGUUUGUUUGUUUGUUUUUGUUUUGAGACAGGGUUUCUUUGUGUAGCCCUGACUGUCCUGCAACUAGCUCUGUAGAUCAAGCUACAGACUGGCAGAGAUCCCCCUGCCUCUGUCUGACAGAGAUGCCCCUGUCACCUGAAAUGCUGGGAUUGAAGGAGUGCACCACCACUGCUUGGCUGCUAGCUGUUCUUGUAAUCAGAGUUAGUUUGUUUUUUUCAAGACCUGUUGGGAAAUACUAAAUUGUAUAAAAUUGUACCAACAAGUACUAGUCAAUGAGAUUCUGAACACAUUGUAUUUAUUUAUUUAUUUAUUUAUUUAUUUAUUUUUUCGAGACAGAGUUUCUCUGUGUAGCCCUAGCUGUCCUGGAACUCACUCUGUAGACCAGGCUGGCUUCGAACUCAGAAAUUCGCCUGCCUCUGCCUCCCAAGUGCUGGGAUUAAAGGUGUGCGCCACCAUGCCCAGCUGUGUUUAUUUUUUACCAUCAGCUUAUUGAAAUACAAGACUGAGUCAGGGGAGGAAGAGGAAAUAGGAUAGUGUCUCUCUAAAAUUCCAUUUACUUGUGCUGCUGUGGAUAUUUGGUGUAUGCAUGUGUAUGUGUAUGUGUGUACACACGGGUACGUGUAUGUAGGUCAGAGGUAGACUUCAGGCAGCAUCCACCCAUUUCUCUUUAUUUAUUUAUUAUUUUGAUGUAAAUUCUCUCACUAGCUGGAACUCACCCACUAGGCUGGGCCAGCUGGCCAGUGAGUCUGAACCUCCCUGGUGCCACCAUGUUUGGUCCUUUUUUGGACAUCAAACUCAAAUCCUCAUAAGUACUUUUCUGAGCUCUCACUCUAGUUCUGGAUUGUAUUUAAAGAUUACAGACUUCUC